UCCACGUAAGUAUUUACUCAGAAGAUUACCAUCAAUUUUGAAUUCUGUACCACAAACCAGUCAGGGUUCUUCUCUUUUAUCCGAAACUAUUCUCACGCGCCGUGUAGCCUCAAACAUACGACAGCUCCUCGAUCUCCUCAUCUUCGACCGUUCGUAUUUGCACGCGCUCUCUUGGUUAGCCAUCUCUGGUGUUAAUGUCUCGUGCCACGCACAUGACUUUUGACCAUGGUCUCUAAUUUUUGUCUUUGCUUUUCAUAUUUAAGACAUUUAAUCAACGCAUGCCAUUAUUAUUUGCUCUGCUUUCUUAUAUGAACCACUAAAAAAACCAACCUUCCUCAGUGUCGCUCUCGAUCUGAAUCCAUGAAGACGUCUUUCGAUCCCCGUCAACGAGAAGAGUAACUUCAUCAGGUACCCUCUCAACGAGGAGCUUCUAACAGAAGCACCAAACGUCAACGAAUCCGCCGUGCAGCUCAUCAAGUUCCACGGAAGCUACCAACCGUACAACAGAGAGGAACGCGGCGGAGGAAGAUCAUACUCUUUCAUGCUCCGUACCUAGAACCCGAGCGGCAAAGUCCCUAACCAGCUUUACCUAACAAUGAACGACUUAGCCGAUGAGUUUGGCAUCCGCACGCUUCGUCUGACCACCAGGCAGACCUUUCAGCUUCACGGCGUCCUGAAGCACGAUCACAAGACCGUGAUGAGAUCCAUUAUCAAAAACAUGGGGAGCACACUCUCUGUGCUUGCGGUGAUCUGAAUAAAAAUGUUCUUGCUCCGGCUGCGCCUUACGCCAGGAGAGACUAUCUCUUCGGGCAGGAGACGGCUGAUCACGUCGCGGCGCUUCUCAGUCCUCAGUCGGGGUUUUACUGUGAUAGAGUCCACUCUGCUAUUCCUAAGUUUAAAUUCUUCGAUUGACUUUGGAUGUGGUUCUGGAAGUUUAUUAUAGACUCUCUACUUGACUAUCCAACUUCACCUCAAACCAUUAUCAGCAAGAAGGGUCUUUCCCGUGCUGCUAAGGAAGGUUUUACUUCACAUAUAAUAUGUUCAGAAGCUGAGCAUGGAAGAAGAUCAAGCCCUGUAAUUUGUGAACAAGUUCUAAUCUUGUUUCACCCCCAAGCUCCUGAUUGUCUUAACACCAAACUACGAGCACAAACACAAUUCUCCAGCAGUCUACACCAGAAGCCCAAGAAGAAAAACAAAGCUGAGUCACAACUUCCCAAGUAACUAAAAGUAGUGGAUAAGGUUUAAUGUAGAUGGGAUGAACAGAAUCAUCAAUGGCACUAUCUUAACUCUUAGCAAUGUUGUGGCUUAGCUUAAAACUUAAAAGCUUUUGAACGAAAGGAAGAGUACAAGGCUUACUGUGAAGUAUCGAGUGGGCCUUGUUGGUGUAGUCAUGUGCUGUAGUAUCUUGGCAUUUUAAGUCUGCUGGCAUGGUUUAAAGCCUUGUAAAUUUUAAAUCCAGACCGGGUGUCUUAAUUUUCAUAUGCUAGGGAAAACAAACAGAAUCAAACUCAUGAGAGCCAAUGAU